ACUGCGAGUGAAGCGGGAAAAGCUCAAAUUUAAAAUCUGACAGUCAUCUGGCUGCUCCGAGUUGUAAUCUAGAGAAGUGCUAUCCGCGCUGGACCGUGUACAAGUCUCCUGGAAUGGAGCAUCAUAGAGGGUGAGAAUCCCGUCUUUGACAUGGACUGCCAGGGCUUUUGUGAUGCGCUCUCAAAGAGUCGAGUUGUUUGGGAAUGCAGCUCAAAAUGGGUGGUAAAUUCCAUCUAAAGCUAAAUAUUGGCGAGAGACCGAUAGCGAACAAGUACCGUGAGGGAAAGAUGAAAAGAACUUUGGAAAGAGAGUUAAACAGUACGUGAAAUUGCUGAAAGGGAAACGCUUGAAGUCAGUCGCGUCGUCCAGGGAUCAACCUCGCUUUUGCUUGGUGCACUUUCUGGUUUGACGGGUCAGCAUCAAUUUUGACCAUUGGAAAAAGGUCAGGGGAAUGUGGCAUCCUUGGAUGUGUUUAUAGCCCUUGGUCGCAUACAAUGGUUUGGGAUUGAGGAACUCAGCACGCCGCAAGGCCGGGUGUUUACACCACGCACGUGCUUAGGAUGCUGACAUAUAUAAUGGCUUUAAUCGACCCGUCUUGAAACACGGACCAAGGAGUCUAACAUGCCUGCGAGUGUUUGGGUGGAAAACCCGAGCGCGUAAUGAAAGUGAAAAGUUGAGAUCCCUGUCGUGGGGAGCAUCGACGCCCGGACCAGACCUUUUGUGACGGUUCCGCGGUGGAGCAUGUAUGUUGGGACCCGAAAGAUGGUGAACUAUGCCUGAAUAGGGUGAAUCCAGAGGAAACUCUGGUGGAGGCUCGUAGCGAUUCUGACGUGCAAAUCGAUCGUCAAAUUUGGGUAU
rnacentral:rRNA from 1 species